rnacentral:rRNA from 1 species
AAUGCCGCGUGUGCGAAGAAGGCCUUCGGGUUGUAAAGCACUUUUGUCAGGGAAGAAAACCGAUGGACUAAUAAUCUAUUGGGAUGACGGUACCUGAAGAAUAAGCACCGGCUAACUACGUGCCAGCAGCCGCGGUAAUACGUAGGGUGCAAGCGUUAAUCGGAAUUACUGGGCGUAAAGCGUGCGCAGGCGGUUCUAUAAGACAGGUGUGAAAUCCCCGGGCUUAACCUGGGAAUGGCAUUUGUGACUGUAGGACUAGAGUGUGUCAGAGGGGGGUGGAAUUCCACGUGUAGCAGUGAAAUGCGUAGAUAUGUGGAGGAACACCAAUGGCGAAGGCAGCCCCCUGGGAUAACACUGACGCUCAUGCACGAAAGCGUGGGGAGCAAACAGGAUUAGAUACCCUGGUAGUCCACGCCCUAAACGAUGUCAACUAGUUGUUGGGGAUUUACUUCCUUGGUAACGUAGCUAACGCGUGAAGUUGACCGCCUGGGGAGUACGGCCGCAAGGUUAAAACUCAAAGGAAUUGACGGGGACCCGCACAAGCGGUGGAUGAUGUGGAUUAAUUCGAUGCAACGCGAAAAACCUUACCUACCCUUGACAUGGCAGGAACUUUCCAGAGAUGGAUU